UACGUAGGGUGCAAGCGUUGUCCGGAAUUAUUGGGCGUAAAGAGCUCGUAGGCGGUUUGUUGCGUCGGCUGUGAAAUCCCGAGGCUCAACCUCGGGUCUGCAGUCGAUACGAGCAAACUAGAGUGUUGCAGGGGAGACUGGAAUUCCUGGUGUAGCGGUGAAAUGCGCAGAGUAUCAGGAGGAACACCAGUGGCGAAGGCGG
rnacentral:rRNA from 1 species